AUUGAACGCUGGCGGCAUGCCUUACACAUGCAAGUCGAACGGCAGCACGGGAGCAAUCCUGGUGGCGAGUGGCGAACGGGUGAGUAAUAUAUCGGAACGUGCCCAGUAGUGGGGGAUAGCCCGGCGAAAGCCGGAUUAAUACCGCAUACGACCUGGGGGUGAAAGCGGGGGAUCGCAAGACCUCGCGCUAUGGGAGCGGCCGAUAUCAGAUUAGCUUGUUGGUGGGGUAAAAGCCUACCAAGGCGACGAUCUGUAGCUGGUCUGAGAGGACGGCCAUCCACACUGGGACUGGGCCACGCCCCAUACUCCUACGGGAGGCAGCAGUGGGGAAUUUUGGACAAUGGGCGCAAGCCUGAUCCAGCCAUGCCGCGUGCGGGAAGAAGGCCUUCGGGUUGUAAACUGCUUUUGUACAGAACGAAAAGGCUCUGGUUAAUACCCGGGGCUCAUGACGGUACUGUAAGAAUAAGCACCGGCUAACUACGUGCCAGCAGCCGCCGAAA
rnacentral:rRNA from 1 species